rnacentral:tRNA from 1 species
GCGGAGGUGGCGGAAUUGGUAGACGCGCUAGCUUCAGGUGCUAGUGUCCGAAAGGACGUAAGGGUUCAAGUCCCUCUCUCCGCACCA